rnacentral:rRNA from 1 species
AUUGAACGCUGGCGGCAUGCCUUACACAUGCAAGUCGAACGGUAACAGGUCUUCGGAUGCUGACGAGUGGUGAACGGGUGAGUAAUACAUCGGAACGUGCCUAGUAGUGGGGGAUAACUACUCGAAAGAGUGGCUAAUACCGCAUGAGAUCUCCGGAUGAAAGCAGGGGAUCGCACGACCUUGUGCUACUAGAGCGGCCGAUGGCAGAUUAGGUAGUUGGUGGGAUAAAAGCUUACCAAGCCGACGAUCUGUAGCUGGUCUGAGAGGACGAUCAGCCACAGUGGGACUGAGACACGGCCCAGACUCCUACGGGAGGCAGCAGUGGGGAAUUUUGGACAAUGGGCGCAAGCCUGAUCCAGCAAUGCCGCGUGCAGGAUGAAGGCCUUCGGGUUGUAAACUGCUUUUGUACGGAACGAAAAGCCCUGGGUUAAUACCCUGGGGUCAUGACGGUACCGUAAGAAUAAGCACCGGCUAACUACGUGCCAGCCGCCGCGGUAAUAC